UGUAGCUAUCAAUUUUUUUUUGCCCCUCCUGACCUACACAGGACUCUGCUAUGGGAGUGAUGGCCAGUCCUGGUGUCUGAGUGAUU
ensembl:snoRNA